CAGGCCAUAACUCCCCCAUCCGGCAACGGAUUUUGACGCAUAAGGUGUCGUUGGAAAGCUGUCUUCCUUAUCUUGAUUUUUGGGUUAGUUUGGUAGCUUAAUUUGAAUUUUGGAAGGUGCAGCAAGGAGAAGAAGAGGGCGGUGUAACUGUUUUCUUGGGUUUCUGGUCGAAACUUGAGUUUCCGGUCACCUCCGACGACAAUUCUUAUUGGGUCUUGGAGCUCUUGGAUCAUACAACCAUCCCUCAAAGUUUCUUGGUCAGAUUCGAAGUGUGGAGCACGAAUCGAAGUUGAGAAAGAUGUUUGGAUGGUUGAGACGAAGCUGCUACCAAAAUAUGGUGGUCGAAGGUGGAGGUUGCCGGCUCUUGAACAGUGAUUGCCGGCACGUGAAUAGUGACUGAUGGGCCCUUCGGUUUCAAAUGCCCAGUUUGCAUGCCAGAUUAGCUUGAGAUCGAGCGUACAUGGGGUUGAGGCAUAGCUGUCAUAGCUUCCGCAUUAUAAAAGUAUCGUUACUUUAUCUUAUAUUCUAUCAUCUUGUACGCCUGUACAUUAGAUUGCUCUGAUAACCCAUGAGA